UACGUAGGGUGCGAGCGUUAAUCGGAAUUACUGGGCGUAAAGCGUGCGCAGGCGGUUCGUUGCGUCGGUGGUGAAAUCCCCGGGCUUAACCUGGGAAUGGCCAUGGAAACUGGCGAACUGGAGUGCGGCAGAGGGGGGUGGAAUUCCGCGUGUAGCAGUGAAAUGCGUAGAGAUGCGGAGGAACACCGAUGGCGAAGGCAGCCCCCUGGGCUAGCACUGACGCUCAGGCACGAAAGCGUGGGGAGCAAACAGG
rnacentral:rRNA from 1 species